rnacentral:rRNA from 1 species
CAUGCAAGUCGAACGGUGGCAGGAGUAAGCUUGCUGCUUCGCUGACGAGUGGCGGACGGGUGAGUAAUGUCUGGGAAACUGCCUGAUGGAGGGGGAUAACUACUGGAAACGGUGGCUAAUACCGCAUAACGUCGCAAGACCAAAGAGGGGGACCUUCGGGCCUCUUGCCAUCAAAUGUGCCCAGAUGGGAUUAGCUUGUUGGUGAGGUAACGGCUCACCAAGGCGACGAUCCCUAGCUGGUCUGAGAGGAUGACCAGCCACACUGGAACUGAGACACGGUCCAGACUCCUACGGGAGGCAGCAGUGGGGAAUAUUGCACAAUGGGCGCAAGCCUGAUGCAGCCAUGCCGCGUGUAUGAAGAAGGCCUUCGGGUUGUAAAGUACUUUCAGCGGGGAGGAAGGUGUUGUGGUUAAUAACCGCAGCAAUUGACGUUACCCGCAGAAGAAGCACCGGCUAACUCCGUGCCAGCAGCCGCGGUAAUACGGAGGGUGCAAGCGUUAAUCGGAAUU